rnacentral:tRNA from 1 species
GGGUUGCUAACUCAACGGUAGAGUACUCGGCUUUUAAACCGAUUUCAAUUUAACAAGUAAAAUUUCUACUCCAU